rnacentral:rRNA from 1 species
UACAGAGGUCUCAAGCGUUGUUCGGAUUCAUUGGGCGUAAAGGGUGCGUAGGCGGGUCUUUAAGUCAGGGGUGAAAUCCUGGAGCUCAACUCCAGAACUGCCUUUGAUACUGGCGAUCUCGAGUCCGGGAGAGGUGAGUGGAACUGCGAGUGUAGAGGUGAAAUUCGUAGAUAUUCGCAAGAACACCAGUGGCGAAGGCGGCUCACUGGCCCGGUACUGACGCUGAGGUGCGAAAGCGUGGGGAGCAAACAGG